rnacentral:lncRNA from 1 species
AAAUAAGUCAACGUGACCAAAAUGGUCAGUUGACCCCUUUAGGAGUUAUUGCCCUUUAUGGUCAAUUUUCAACCAUUUUUCGUAAAUCUUAGUAAUCUUUUACAAAAAUCUUCUCCUCUAAAACUACUGUACAAAAUUAAUCCAAACUUGGCCACAAUCAUCUUUGGGGUAUCUAGUUUAAAAAAUAUGUCCGGUGACCCAGCCAUCAAAUCAAGAUUGGCCGCAUGGCUAAAAAUAGAACAUAGGGGUAAAAUGCAGUUUUUGGCUUAUAACUCAAAAACCAAAGCAUUUAGAGCAAAUCUGACAUUGGUAAAAUUGUUAAUCAGGUGAAGAUUUAUCUGCCCUAAAAUUUUCAGUUGAAUCGACAACCUGUUGUUGGGUUGCUGCCCCUGAAUUGGUAAUUUUAAGAAAAUUUUGCUGUUUUUGGUUAUCAUCUUGAAUAUUAUUAUAGAUAGAGAUAAACUGUAAACAGCAAUAAUGUUCAGCAAAGUAAGAUUUACAAAUAAGUCAACAUGACCGAAAUGGUCAAUUGACCCCCUAAGAAGUUAUUGUUCUUUAUAGUCAAUUUUUAACAAUUUUCAUAAAAUUUGUAAAUUUUUACUUACAUUUUCCAUUGAAACUACUGGGCCAAGUUCAUUAUAGAUAGAGAUAAUUGUAAGCAGCAAGAAUGUUUAGUUAAGUAAGAUGUACAAACACAUCACCAUCACCAAAACACAAUUUUGUCAUGAAUCCAUCUGCUUCUUUGUUUAAUAUUCACAUAGACCAAGGUGAGCGACACAGGCUCUUUAGAGCCUCUAGUUUUUUUUAAAUAUUU